rnacentral:rRNA from 1 species
GACGAACGCUGGCGGCGUGCCUAAUACAUGCAAGUUGAGCGAUGACGUUUGGUGCUUGCACCAAUUUGAAGAGCAGCGAACGGGUGAGUAACGCGUGGGGAAUCUGCCUUUGAGCGGGGGACAACAUUUGGAAACGAAUGCUAAUACCGCAUAACAACUUUAAACAUAAGUUUUAAGUUUGAAAGAUGCAAUUGCAUCACUCAAAGAUGAUCCCGCGUUGUAUUAGCUAGUUGGUGAGGUAAAGGCUCACCAAGGCGAUGAUACAUAGCCGACCUGAGCGGGUGAUAGGACACAUUGGGACUGAGACACGGGCCAAACUGGUACGGGAGGAAGCAGUAGGGAAUUUUCGGCAGUGGACGAAAGUAUGACUGAGCAACGGCGCGUGGGUGAAGAGGGGUUUCGGAUGGGAAGACACUGGUGGUAGAGAAGAACGUUGGUGAGAGUGGAAGGCGCAUAAAGUGACGGUAACUACGCAGAAAGGGACGGCUAACUACGUC